rnacentral:rRNA from 1 species
GACGAACGCUGGCGGCGUGCUUAACACAUGCAAGUCGAACGGAAAGGCCCUGCUUUUGUGGGGUGCUCGAUUGGCGAACGGGUGAGUAACACGUGAGUAACCUGCCCUUGACUUUGGGAUAACUUCAGGAAACUGGGGCUAAUACCGGAUAUGAUCUCCUGCUGCAUGGUGGGGGUUGGAAAGUUUCGGCGGUUGGGGAUGGACUCGCGGGUUAUCAGCUUGUUGGUGGGGUAGUUGCGUACCAAGGUUUCGACGGGUAGCCGGCCUGAGAGGGUGACCGGCGACAUUGGGACUGCGAUAGGGACCAGAAUGGUACGGGAGGCAGCAGUGGGGAAUAUUGCGCAAUGGGCGGAAGCGUGAUGCAGCAACGCCGCGUGCGGGAUACCGGCCUUCGGGUUGUAAACCGAUUUGGCAUGUGACGAAGCGUGAGUGACGGUAAUGGGUAAAGAAGCACCGGCUAACUACGUG